rnacentral:rRNA from 1 species
CCUACGGGUGGCAGCAGUGGGGAAUAUUGCGCAAUGGGCGAAAGCCUGACGCAGCGACGCCGCGUGAGGGAUGAAGGUCUUCGGAUCGUAAACCUCUGUCAGCAGGGAAGAACGGUCACUGUGCUAAUCAGCAGUGAAUUGACGGUACCUGCAAAGGAAGCACCGGCUAACUCCGUGCCAGCAGCCGCGGUAAUACGGAGGGUGCGAGCGUUAAGCGGAAUUACUGGGCGUAAGGCGCUCGUAGGCGGUAUGUCAAGUCAAGGGUGAAAUCCCCGCGCUCAACGUGGGAACUGCCUUUGAAACUGGCAAACUGGGGGGGGGGAGAGGAGAGUGGAAUUCCAGGGGUAGGAGUGAAAUCCGUAGAUAUCUGGAGGAACAUCAGUGGCGAGGGCGACUAUCUGGCACAUAACUGACGCUGAGGAGCGAAAGCGUGGGUAGCAAACAGGAUUAGAUACCCGGGUAGUC